UACGAAGGUCCCAAGCGUUAUCCGGAUUUAUUGGGUUUAAAGGGUGCGUAGGCGGGUUAUUAAGUCAGUGGUGAAAGCCUUCAGCUUAACUGAAGAACUGCCAUUGAUACUGAUGAUCUUGAGUAUGAUUGAGGUGGGCGGAAUGUGUCAUGUAGCGGUGAAAUGCUUAGAUAUGACACAGAACACCGAUUGCGAAGGCAGCUCACUAAGCCAUAACUGACGCUGAUGCACGAAAGCGUGGGGAGCAAACAGG
rnacentral:rRNA from 1 species